rnacentral:rRNA from 1 species
AUGGCCGCCGGACAGCCGCAGCUGCUCGCCGGCGUCGGCGACCGGGGCUCCUCAUCCUCCUCCUCCUCUUCCCACCCGCCGCCACCGCCUCCGCCCAAGAUCCUCCUCGCGAAGCCGCCUCUGCCGCCCCCCUCGUCCUCCGGCGCCGACGACGAGGGCGCUGGCGCCCGCGCGCGGCAGGGGCCGCAGCCUGGCUCGCUCAGCCUCGUCUCCGACGCCUGGGAGGUCCACACCGACAAGAUCCUACCGUAUCUGACGGAGAACAACGAUUUCAUGGUGAUCGGGAUAAUCGGUCCACCUGGUGUGGGCAAGUCAACCAUCAUGAACGAGCUUUAUGGAUAUGAUGGAAGCUCACCUGGAAUGCAUCCUCCUUUUGCUACGCAAACUGAGGAAAUCAAAGCGAUGGCAAAGCACUGUACUACAGGUGUUGAUUUCAGGAUAUCUCACGAACGAGUUAUACUUCUCGACACUCAGCCAGUAUACAGUCCAUCCAUCCUAAUGGAUAUGAUGAGGCAAGAUGGUUCAUCUUCACUUCCUGUUCUUAACGGUGAUCCAUUACCAGCAGACCUGGCCCAUGAGCUAAUGGGAAUCCAGCUUGGUGUUUUCUUGGCAUCUGUCUGUAAUAUUGUGUUGGUUGUGUCAGAAGGGAUCAAUGAUUUUUCCAUGUGGGAGCUCAUGCUUACGGUUGAUUUGUUGAAGAAUAACAUACCUGACCCAUCAUUGUUAACAUCAUCUACAUCAGACAAGGAAAAUAAGAGUGAUAACCAAUCAGGCAGUGAAGAUUACGUGGCCGAUCUCUGUUUUGUGCAUGCUAGAUUGAGGGAGCAUGACUUUUCUCCUUCAAAGCUCAUGCGUCUACGGGAGACUCUUGAAAAACACUUUGAGUCCUCUUCAUUUAACAUUGGCAGCUCUGGUGCGACACCUGAAGUUACUGAUUCCUCGGUUGCUCCAAGCACGAAAGUUGAAGAGUUGAGCUCCAGCCAGCAGGACGUAUUCCUUCUUCCAUUAAGAUCACAUGAUAACUCAGCAAAGUUAGAGUAUGGGACAUACUCAUCCAUGCUAGGAAAGCUUCGUGAUCAGGUCCUGGCGAGGCCGUUGAGGCCGUUCUCGAAGAACCUCACAGAGCGCGACUGGCUGAGGAGCUCGGCCAAGAUAUGGGACAUGGUGAGGAGAUCUCCCGUCGCCUCGGACUACUGCAAGGCGCUCCAGAGUUCAGGAUUGUUCAGGAAGUAG